UAUAAGUGUUUGUUUUUUCAUACCUCUUUGAAUACAAAUGUGUGUUCUUGCACUCUGUUUCAAUUUACAAGAUUUCACUGAAUUUUGAUAUCAUCCUCAUUGCCUUAGCACACAUACCCUUUAUUCUGCCCAGGUCAUUGUCAAUUUUUAAAAAUGCCAACUGCUUAGAAUUCAGCCAGUUCAAUUUAUUUUUGUUAAAAUUAAUCUCAGCUAUAACCAUUCAUGGAGUCCCGCCUAGUCAAAUGUGGCUUUUGGAUCUAGGGCAGAAUCAGAAAAGAUAUGGCAUGAUGCUGCCAUUCAUUUCUUCUCUCCAUAACAAACAUGGCUCAUAAAUGAUGGUACUCUAACUUGCUGGGCUUGGAUGGAAUUUCCGGAUCCUCUCAAUAUGCCACUCUAGGCUGUCACUACCAACGGAUUGUAGACUUUGGCAAAUCAGGUGAAGCCCCUGUGCCAACUUAGGUCUUCUGUUUUAGUUAAGGGAAUUGUAUAUUAUGCUAGAUAGAAUUUAAAAAUACCGCCAAUACCAAAAUUUACUAUAGCUAGUAUAUUUUUUAAGUAUGAGAAUUUAAAAAACUCUUCACGCCCCCAGGAUAAAGCUCACACAAUAACCGGUAUGCACCAGAACUGCUUUUAAACCUAAUGAUCAAUGACAAUUUGCUUCUGUGAACCCGCCUCUGAAAACCAGCCAAUCAGUAACAGCCUCAUCCUUUGAAAGUCAGCCAAUAGGCAGUGGACUCACUCCAGUGACUGUGGAUCUGAAGCUGGCAUCAACUAAUUCCUGUUUCUGUAGCCAAUCUCCAAAGUCUUUCCAGUGACCUUGAUUGGCCUGACUUGGAUCACAUGGCCAUUCCUGAUCCAUUACUGUGGCCAGAACUAAAUUACAUGCUCACUCCGAGAGCUAUUAGGAGACAAGAACAGCAGGGGUGCUUCCCUGAAGAUUUUGAUUCUAGUCAUCCAAAAGCUCAUCAUGUCCACUAAUCGCCAGAUUUUGCCAACCCCGCCCUCUGUUUUGGGUAGUCUUGUCUGAGUUUCGUGCAAGCUUAUUAUGUCUUUAUCUUGGACAACAACCAGAGGGACUUUGCUCUGCACCCAGAAGAAAUGAAACUCCUCACAUGGCUUAAAAGACUGCAAUACUUGCCAUUGAGUACCUCACGGACCCGAAACUUCCUAUACUACAUUUUGUUCACUGUUGUAGCUAAACUGGUCGUCUCUGUGUUCUUGAGGCAGAAGUCACUUUGGAGUGAAGUCGCCCCUUUUGGACCUGCUUUCACACUGCUUUGGAUGGGCUCUGACCAAGGGCAUAUUGGAGGAGGUGAUUCUGCCUGAGAACAUGGGUGCAGAGCACAUGAUGCCAGCAAGAGUUCUUCAGAGACUGGCCCCAUGUGCCUCUUGAUGCCUGCUUGGUGUUCAUCUUUUGAGUCUGACUCAGAAUUCAGGAAGGAUGUUACAUGUCUACUUUCAGGAAGGAUUUUUGCCAGCUGUUGAUAUACCCUCCCGUCUCCUCAUGUGACACAUCCUGCUCCCCAAGGAAAACACAGGUAAGUAGUAUCUCAUGGAAUUCCUUUACAGGAGGAUGUUGAUGGGGAAGGGGAGGUAUUACUGGAAUUUCGGGGGCUCAGGUGAAGCAUAGUAAAGCCUUAUGUGGGAGUGACAUGUACUGAAUGAGGCCCGCUAUUGUUGAAGGCGGGGUGGUAGAAAUGGAAGGGAAAAUGCAUCGACCUGGGACGGCCCACAAGAAGAAAGGAGACUCCUACAAGAAGGGCUUGCCCUAUGGAACCAGACCUGAGGGAAGAGUGAAAGUGACUUUCUUUCAGGUUUUGUUUGCUUGCUUUCUUUAUCAAAUAAAAGUACCGCACCAACAUGGACUCUUACUAUUUUUCCAUAGAGAAUGUAUAAGAGUUCAGGCACACUAUGGGCUAAACAGUUUAUAAUGUGGGGCUCUUGUUAACUUAGAAAUCAAUGACAUUAGGUCUAUGGAUAAGUGUAUUCUGCCAACAGCUGUAAUACAAAUGCAUUUUUAUUUUAAUUUUUUAAAAUUUUUUU